UACAGAGGGGGCAAGCGUUGUUCGGAAUUACUGGGCGUAAAGGGCGCGUAGGCGGCCUUCUAAGUCAGACGUGAAAUCCCUCGGCUCAACCGGGGAACUGCGUCUGAGACUGGAAGGCUUGAAUCCGGGAGAGGGAUGCAGAAUUCCAGGUGUAGCGGUGAAAUGCGUAGAUAUCUGGAGGAAUACCGGUGGCGAAGGCGGCAUCCUGGACCGACAUUGACGCUGAACGACGAAAGCUAGGGGAGCAAACGGG
rnacentral:rRNA from 1 species